rnacentral:rRNA from 1 species
UACGUAGGGGGCAAGCGUUGUCCGGAAUCAUUGGGCGUAAAGCGCGUGUAGGCGGUUCGGUAAGUCCGCUGUGAAAGUCCAGGGCUCAACCCUGGGAUGCCGGUGGAUACUGUCGGGCUCGAGUCCGGAAGAGGCGAGUGGAAUUCCUGGUGUAGCGGUGAAAUGCGCAGAUAUCAGGAGGAACACCAAUGGCGAAGGCAGCUCGCUGGGACGUGACUGACGCUGAGACGCGAAAGCGUGGGGAGCAAACAGG